AGAAAAACGUCGCCAUGAAAGGUAAACAUGGUCCCACGAGGCGGAUGAAAUGCAUCAAGGAGGAGGGGGGUGGGGGGUGGUCGUAAUAUUCUAAACAACCAAUGGGUUGUUGCCUGGUCAAAGCUACGGGGUCCAACAGGUUCAACUCAAAAUGCGAAUAGAGAAAUGCUUAAAUUGUACAGCAAUUCGACAUUAAUGCGUCAUAAUCAAUUUCUGGAACGUUAAAAUUGAUCCAAAAUCACGCGCAUUAAAAACUCACCCUGGGGGACCAGUCAAACAAUUUAGAACGUACGUGUGAAAGGGUUUUAAAGGUAAGCAGGAUGACAAAUUUUCUGACUGAACAUUUUUGUACAUAGUACAUCCUAUAGGCCUACACUUCUUGCUCGCUUGCAGCUAGUACAGAUAGUUUUCACUGUAAAAAAAACAGAACAGAAAAGCAUGGUGUAAUGUAAAAUUAUUACCAUAUAUGAACAUUCAGUUGCUACAACGAGAUGACAAACUGUUCAGUCACUAUCUGCUUUCAUUAGUUGAAAACUGUAGUAGACACAUUAAACUUUGAUUACUAUUCCUCCACAAAAUAAAUAAAAAUAAAAAAACAUUUUGUUUCUAUCAAGGCAGAGGAGUUUUUGCUUAAGAAUUCACACCCAAAGUUGAUUUUGUGGUUGAAUAUAGAGGGAAAUUGAUGACAAACAGGAAGCUGAUAUAUGUGCUAAGCAAUACAAGGAGGUUGAAAAGGUUUUUGUGUUUGACUUCAAAUGGAAUGGAAAAAUGUGGUGGUAAGUACACUUGAUUUAGAUCUAGCUGACUUAUAUGCAACAUUUGAAUACAACGCAGAAUGGCCAUGGAGAACACAGGUGAGGAGGUUUUUUUUAAUACUAAAUUCUAAUUGGUUUAAUUAAUUGUACCUCACACUAAUAAUAAUCACAUGUACCUUCAUUUUAACACUAGAAGCACUGAGCAGUAGUAAAUUGAUCCCAGUACGAAAAAAAGUAUCUUUGCAAUCUUAUGAAAUUUCAGGACCCUGCUUUCUUGACUUUCCUUAAAAAUCAGUUUUGCCACCUAGUAAUUUGAAAUGUUCUAAAUCACACUAGGAAAAGCUAGUUAGAGGUUAUUUUACUCUUGUUUCUAUUGCUGCCAGCUGCGAAUUCAGCAUUAGUUUAAUUUUAUCCAGGUCAUUUAAUAUGCAUGUAACAUGAAUACCAAUGUCUGUUGUCCUGCUUUCAGCUCAUCAAUAGUGAUCAGACACACAGUGAAACCUGUGGUGGCGCAGAUGUUUGUUUGUCUUCUAGAUGUGAGAAAAAGUUCAUGCCAGUGAGGAGGAGGAUAAUCACUCAGACAGCAUACAGCAGGGAAACUGUUCAUCUGCAGUUGAUGGAAAAGCUUCCCAGAAGAAGACACCCUGGCAGCAGACAGAGGCGCAGGCGGUGGAAAGGAACAUGAAUAGGUUUAUCACAUCUUGUAUUUUACCAUCUAAGAGUGAGUGUGAGAACUGUUUAAGGGCUGAACCAGAAGACCUCAAGAACCGUGUCUGGCAAAACCUGAAGUUUUAUGUUUACAACCGCAUUACAGCCUACAAGAGAAAAUGGCAACGUAAAUAGCGUAGUGGUAUGGCAGCAAUGUAUUGCAUGUAUGUACAACCUUUUAAAAAAUCAGUUGAAUUGUGAUAUGUAUUGAAGUUACUUUGUUUGACAAGUGUUUAAACCAGUGGUUCUCAGUCCUGGUCUUCGGGCCCCCUUCGCCUGCAUGUUUUAGACAUUUCCCUGUUCCAACACACC